rnacentral:rRNA from 1 species
CAGUAGCCGCGGUAAAACGGAGGGUGCUAGCGUUGUUCGGAAUCACUGGGCGUAAAGGGCGCGUAGGCGGCCUGUUAAGUCGGAUGUGAAAGCCCGGGGCUCAACCCCGGAACUGCAUCCGAGACUGGCAGGCUUGAGACCGGGAGAGGAGGGUGGAAUAUCCAGUGUAGAGGUGAAAUUCGUAGAUAUUGGAUGGAACACCGGUGGCGAAAGCGGCUCUCUGGCCCGGAUCUGACGCUGAGGCGCGAAAGCGUGGGGAGCAAACAGGAUUAGAUACCCCCGUAGUCCCUGUCUCUUAUAC